rnacentral:lncRNA from 1 species
AUGGGAGGCACAGGCCCUGUGACGGGCUCUCAGGAGGGAGCUCCCCAGUCAAUUCUAUCACCUGGGAACUGCACAUCUUUCUUCAAGCAAGUCAUUCCUAAGAAGGUGAAAAGAACCAGGGUGAACACCAUCUCCUCCUCCUUCUUCUCCUCCUCUUCCCUUGCCCGGCCCCAUCCUGUGCAUGUGUUUCAGCCUACACUGGAGCCUGCAUUGUGGAAAAGCCUCUAGCAUGACCACUCAGCUCAGUGAAGUCUCGGGAAAGGCCUUAGCUUGUGCAAUAAGAAGAUUUUUCUUUUUUUAAAAUUCUUCAUUACAUUUUGUUUAAAUGUCUGUGAGAAAAUACCCAGAUCAGACUGGAUUUUGCUCUACAAUAGAAAUAACUGAACUCAACAAACUGACAAAAAAAAUAGAGUUAACUAUUUUAUUUAUUUGAACAUUUAAAAGAAAAAAGUGCUGACAUUGCACAAUAUUUUUGUUUAAAGUACCUUCUACUUCAAAAGUUAAAAGCAAUUUUGUGAAGACGUGAAAUCAAAAGAGUACUUACUGUAAAAUAAAGAGUGCAUAUAAACUCUUAAGGAAACA